CAGCGGUGUCACUGUAAACUUGCUGAACUGAAGAGUCCGGAUCUGGGCGAAAGGUCACAGCCUUUAGAGGAGCAGCAGUUAAUAGUGAAAAAGCACAUACAGGCAAUUCAGAUGUACGCAGAUCUCAACAACAGGCUGAUCAACAGAAACUCCUCACUUGCUUCACUAGAGAGCCACACAAGGAGAACAAUAGGAAAGUGAAUGAAGUUCGGAUUGAGCUGAUAGUCCUUCUUUGGAGCAGGAUGGAUAACGGACACUGAGGAAGACCGAAUGCACACACCAGAGGGCUUGCGGGAAAGACAGACUGACGAAACACAGAACUCUGACAGGACACCGGGAACGCUGGACAGACUGGAAGGAAA